GACGAACCGUCCGAACGUUAUUCGGAAUUACUGGGCUUAAAGCGCGUGUAGGCGGAUCGACACGUCCGACGUUGAAAUCCCCCGGCUCAACCGGGGAACGGGCCCGGAUACGAUCGGUCUGGAGGAAGGUAGGGGGGUCUGGAACUUCCGGUGGAGCGGUGAAAUGCGUUGAGAUCGGAAGGAACGCCCGUGGCGAAAGCGAGGCCCUGGACCUUUUCUGACGCUGAGACGCGAAAGCCAGGGGAGCGAACGGG
rnacentral:rRNA from 1 species